AACUUUAUCUUUUGGUUUCCUUUUGCUGGUGAGUUUGGGCUUAGCUUCGGCGGCCCGAUCUCUUCUUUCUUACGAUAUUCCUCCUCAUCGAUCUGGAUACGAUAAUUAUGAUCAUCCUGUAGUUAACCCUAAAGUAGGAUACGAACAUGACCGUCGUGAUGGAUACUACCAUGACCGUGACCAUCAUGAUGCACCUUAUGGUGGUGGUGCUGGUGGAGGAUAUGGAGCUGGAGCUGGAGCUGGCUCAUCUCUUGGAGGCUCUGGAUAUGGAAGUGGAGGAGGUGGUGGUUCUGGAUAUGGAGGUGUAGGAAACCACGAGGUUGGUUAUGGUAGUGGUGGAGGGGGUGGAUAUGGAGCUGGAGUUGGCUCUGACCUUGGUGGUAGCGGAUACGGAAGCGGUGGUGGUGGAGGCAGUGGAGGAGGAUACGGUGAUUUAGGAGGACGUGGAAAAGGGUACGGUAGCGGUGGAGGUGGAGGAAGUGGAUAUGGAGGUAGAGGAGACCAUGGAGUUGGUUAUGGAAGUGGUGGAGGUGGAGGAUAUGGAAGUGGAGUAGGUGGUGGUGCAGGAGUGGUAGACCAUGGUGUAGGUUAUGGGAGUGGAGGAGGAGGUGGGGCUGGUAGUGGUUAUGGUGGUUCCAAAGGAUAUGGAGGUGGAAGCGGCGGCGGUGGGGGAGCCGGUUAUGGUGGUGGAGCACAUGGAAGUGGAUAUGGAAGUGGUGGUGGAGCUGGAAGUGGUGAAGAAGGAGGAUAUGAUGGUGGAUAUGCACCGUAAACAAAGAAAAGAAAAGAAAAAGCUCAAAGUUUUAUGGCUAAAAUGAGAAUGCUUACCCUAAUAUCAUCAAUGUGUGUGUGUGUUAGCAAAAAAAAAAAAUAAAAGAAUUUGGGUAAGAAAUGUUAUAUUAAUUAUCUUUGAGCUUUUAAGUAAUUUGAAUGUAAUAUAAUAUAUAUAUAAAAAAAGCUAAUCCAUGUGUUCCAAAGUGAACCAACAUGAAGUAUAUUUUCUCCCUUUGUCAUCAUGAUCAUCUUAAACUUGUGGUUAUUAUGUGGGCUCUCAUUAUUAUUCCAAGAUAGCAACGUCGGGAUAUUCAAAUAUUUUUCAUAUGUAAUGUCUUAAGACUAAAUCACUAUGAUCUAUAUGCUUUAAUUAAGUUCAAAACUAUUUUGGAAGCAUUAUGAUUAAUAUAUUGAUUACUUAAAUACUAUUAUAUGGUUUUCAAGGUAACUUGAUGUUGUUAAUAAAAGAAAUCUUUAAUAUUUAAUCAGUCCUUUCUCUUAAAAUUUAGUAAAAAUAAAUACUAAAAUGGUAUGAUGUUUUAUGGUUGGAUUUGGGGUAUGUGUUUUGGCUUGUCCCUCUAGUUGUGACUUGUUCAAAAUAAGUGUACAAUCAAAUUCACUUGGGUUAUUAAAGACAAUUGAUAAACAAAAAUUGCCAAAACGAUAGAGCAUAACUAUUUAAUCGGUAUAAAACUUGUACAAUCCAUUAAUCAUAAUAUACUUUUUCUAAUUGAUCUCUAAUUGAUCGUACAUACUAGUUAGUGUCGAUAAAAAACUCAAUUUGACGUAUAAAUAUUUGUUUGUUGUAAAUGAACAUCUAAGUAUAUUCUUGAUUAAUUAUUCUUAUACUAAGAGUAACAUUGACCCCUCUAUUCUUUAGUAUUUGGUUAAAAGAAUAAAAAAUUAGUAAGUGAUGAAUCUUAGUGUGCUAUAGGUUGAUCAACCAAUUAAAAUUAGUCGUUUCAAGCAAUACUUUCGAAAAAAUUCAUUAAAUAGGAGUUAUUUAAACUAUCAACCCUGAGUUUUUAUACAUUACAAUAAAUUUAAUCUUUGAUGUCGGUCAAAAACUAAUAUAUAGGAGUACAAUAUAGAUCACCAGAUCGAUAUGGAAGACAAUGUUAUGGAAGAUGUUCAAUGUUAAUCACUUUUAUGUUCGUUUUGGUCUUGGCAUUAUAAAUAAUUUAAAUGGUAGUUUUUGCUCACACUACAAAUGUGUUAGACUAUUAGUCAUCAAAUAGUUUGAAUUCCUUGUAAAAAAAAUUAGUUGAAACAAAAAUAAAUAAUUAUCUUUGCAUUAAAAUAAAAUAAAAUAAAUAAAAUAGAUUUUUUUGUGAAUAUUUUGGUCAGGUGUUCUAUUUUUUAUAAUUUCCCAUAAAAAAUAUGUGUAAUAAGUUAUUUAAAAUACUAAUAGUAUUAAUUAGUUUACUUAAUAAAUCAAUUAUAUCUCUAAAUGAUAUUUUGGUAGAUUUAAAAAUAUUUUGAUUCAUUUUGCUAUAUUUGAAAAAGAAACCAUAAAAUUCUACUUCAUAUUCGCAAUAGAUCAUGGUAAACUUAGAUAGGCAUCUAUUAUUUAUAUAUAUGGUGAUAGAUACUUAUGUAUCUAUAUCCAAGCCCAUCAUCUAAAUAUUUUCAAAUGGUUUUCAAUUGAAAACAAAUUUCUCAAUAAGUAAUUAAAAAUUAGGUUUUUAUUCACUAAUAAUUAUUAUUUAAAUGUGAACAAAUAAAGUUUAGCUCGUAUAUAAUGGGUCAGUAGGUACACUCGGAUAUCUCCACUAGAUGGACACCCCUUAGCACCCUCAUUAUCUCCGUUUCAUUAAUAUAAAAAAUCGAAUUGAAUACACGAGAAGUAAAGAGAACAACCCAAACAAAAAACAAAGAACUAGAGACAAGCCCAAAACAAGUACAAACAAUUAGAAAGCAUGAAGAAAUUAGUGCUUUAAACCCCUAAACCGCAAUGUUACUUAACAAAUAAAAUUGUUAUUUAAAAGUUUGAAGUUAUUAUUGAGUUUUAUUUUAGCAAAUUAAUCAUCUCUUAAAUUAAAAAUCUCAAACAUACAUGGAAGAUAAGAUCAAUUAAGCACAUGUUGGAUGAAUUUUGUUCGAAUAAAAAUUAAAACAACUUAUUGUUAUCAACUUAUAAGUUAUAUAUAUGAUGAUGGUGGUGCAGAGGUGAAAACUUAGUUUGAGAUCUCUCCCUACAUCUACUAUGCUUUUACGUUCUAAUGUAUUUUGUGGUAAAAAAAUCAAUUAUAAACUUUUAAGAAAAAUUUUCAUAUGUUAUUAUUUUUUCUCUAAAUUCUAAACUAGCCAGGUUAUCAACAAAACAAAUACCACUAGAGUUUAAGGGAUUAGGAAGCAUAUAUGAAUAUCUCAACUUGGUUAACACGUCGUUUUUAAACAUUUCUCAUCAGGUUGCUGUUUCAAAAGUGAUGCACUGAUGUGAAGAAACAUAUAGGAGAAAAGUGAGAUGGAAAGUUAGUAUAUUGGACAGAGUACAUAGUACAUAGUAGGUUUAUUAAUUAAUUUAUCCAAAUGAUAAUCUCAUUACCAAGCACUAUGUGAUUUAGAUAUGAAUAAAAUGUGAUCAUUUUUCCACCACUAUUACAUAGCAAAUGGGAAAACAUCUCAUUGUGGUUUGAUAUUUUAAAAAACAAUUAUGGUAAUGCAAGUCGUCUCAUAUCCCAUAAUAUUAUCUCAGUCUCAUGGCGACUGAUACAAAAGGACAAAACUAACUUCAUUAAAAUAUGUUCUCUCCUUCCUACACUUUUUAGGUAUAUAUCAUUCAUAUAUUAAUCACUGCAAUUGGUUAGGUGGACUACAAAAACAUAGAUAUAGUCCGAGAUAAAAUUAAGUACGGUUAUAUUUUACGAGACUUUUGAUGUGUUUGAUUACAUUUUCAUGUGUUUCUUUUAGAAAAUAAGUUAUUUUGAAAAAACUAAAGUAUUUUAAACAAUUUUUAGAACAAUCAAUUUCUUGAAAAAUAUUUUUUUCUUAAUUCAAUCUAAGAUGGAUCCUCAAAAUAUUUGAGGGUAGUUCUUUUAUAAAAGUAUUUACACUAGGUUGGUUUAUGAAGUAAAAUAUUGAUCGGUAAAUUCAAGUUUUAAAUUAGAAAAAUUGAAUAUUUUUAAAAAUAGAAGAAUUGGCUAACUAUUUACAACUCAUACCAAAAUUUUAAUACAAAUCCAAAGUAUCUAUUUUUUAUUUUAUUAUUAUUAUUAUUUUUUGCUAUAGGAUGUAAAUACUAUCUGUUUUCUUGUAAAUUUCUCUUACAAUCCUCUACGAGAAAGUCUUAAUUUUUAUAUUUAUGAUUUAUAUUAUAAUAUAAUUAUUUGGAACCAUAUAAUAAAUAAAAGGAAAAUUGUAAAACAUAACAUUUGACAAAAUAUCUUCGUAGAAAAAUUUGUUGUGUAAUCAAUUUUGAGGUUUUGUUAUAUGGAGCGUAAAUAUUUUGUCAAAUUUUCUAUUUGUGAAAAAAAAAACUUAUAGGUAAUUUGAAAGGUAAGUGAUCUUGUUUAAGAUCCAAAUUUCUUUUAUGAAAGUUUAAUUUAGAAUACAUACGAGAAAAAUAGAUUAAUCUAGAAUGAUAAAUGUAAGAUAGGUUUGGGAAGUACCAAUAAAUUUUAGGCAUGUGAUAGACUAUAACUGUGAAGAUAUAUAGUCUAUUGCUAUCUUGAAUGGCUCAUUCUUGUUUGAAAAUGACCUUAUUUAAAACACAACUUUUUUAUAAAAGAAAAUCCCUUGCAUCAUUCAAACAAUCUUACAAGAUCGUAUUAGUGGAAGAUGAGAUAGAAUUCUGACAUGUGUAUUAUUAGUAUACUUGAAUAGUUUCUUAUCUAACUUUUGAGCAAGUAGUGGAGAAGCUGAUCAUGAACCCUAAACCCACCGUAUCAUUCACUAUAUAAAGGAGAUCACUACAUGCAUUCUAAGGCAUCCCUUCUCCAAAUGGCUAUCUUUAGAACUUUCUCUUUCGGUUUUCUUUUGUUGGUGAGUUUAGGCUUAGCUUCUGCGACCAGAAGUCUUCUCACCUAUGAUCCACCACAUCACUCUGUAUAUGAUGAUCAUAACACUAAAGUAGGUUACGGACGUGACCAUCAUGAUCAACCUUAUGGUGGUGGUGUUGGUGCUAGUGGAGGAUAUGGAGCCGGAGCUGGCUCUGGAUAUGGAGGUGUAGGAUACGAACAUGACCAUCAUGAUGGAUACGAACGUGAUCAUGAUCGAUCUUAUGGUGGUAGUGCUGGUGGAGGAUAUGGAGUUGGAGCUGGCUCCUCUCUUGGAGGCUCUGGAUAUGGAAACGUAGAUCAUGGGGUUGGUUAUAGCAAUGGUGGAAGUGGUGGAUAUGGAGCUGGUGUUGGCUCUGACCUUGGUGGUAGCGGAUAUGGAAGCGGUAAUGGCGGAGCAAGUGGAAGUGGAAAUGGUGAUUUAGGAGGACGUGGAAAAGGCUACGGUCGCGGUGGUGUUGGAGGAAAUGGAUAUGGAGGUAGAGGAGACCAUGGCCGAGUAGUAGGCCAUGAUGAUGUAGUUUAUGGUGGUUCCAAAGGAUAUGGAGGUGGAAGUGGCGUCGGUGGGGGAGCUGGUUAUAGCGGUGGAGCAAGUGGAAGUGGAUAUGGAAGUGGUGGUGGAGCUGGAAGUGGAAGUGGCUAUGGCGGAAGUGGUGAAGAAGGAGGAUAUGAUGGUGGAUAUGCACCUUAAAUAAAAGGGGCUAAAACAUCAUCUAAAAGCUUAUCGUUAAAACGAUAAUACUUACCUAAAUAUCAAUGUUUGUUAGCAAAAAUAAAGAAUUUAGGUAAGAAUGUUAUGUUCCUCUUUUGAAUUUUAGUAACUUCAAUGAAUGUGAUAUUAUAAAAACUAGCUGUUUCAUGGGGUUCUAAAGACCAACAAACAUGCAUGAAAUACUGAGUUAAUACAACGUACGCCAUUCCAAACGUGCUAUUUUAUGGAUUCCAAAGUUGACUUUGAACUAAGGACUAAAUAAUCCUUUAACACCUUCUAAACACAAAUUAUUUCACAGACGUCAAGAUCAGUUAAUCAAGUUAAAACUUAAUAGGUCAAAUUCAUCAUUCCAAAAUGACUUGUAGAAAAAUUUUGAGACUUAGUUCGAGUAUGUUAAAUUCUAAUGUUACGAAGUUUUCUUAACAAAAUUGAGAAGGAGGUUGGGAUGGUGGAUAUGCACUCAAAAAUUUCAUCUCAAAAGAGAAUUGAGAAACAUACUUUUCAAGUAACAAACCCAAUAUUCAUAUUAAUUGGGCAACAAAAGUAAGGAAAUAGGGGUAAAAAGAGAACAUUGUUUUCUAAAUAAUCUAUGUCGAGGUUUGCUUCUUGGCCAUGAAAUUCGAACCAAUUAUUCAAUGAUAAGCAAAUUUGGAUUAAGUAUGCAUGUGUAAUGUGACAAAAUUAUUCAACCACAUUCACGUUAUUUUGCUUUCCUAAUCAUAUUUAUGAAAUAAGAUGGUUUCAUCUUUCAAAAUCAAUACACAAUUACAAAAGUAGUAAUACUUCUAUCUUAUAAACAAUGUUGAUCUCUUGAAUUUUCCAUGUAUGGAAUUAUCAACAUUCUCCGCAUAUUGUUCUAGGUUAUUUUUUUAACCAGUGUAAUCAACCUCAAACAAAAACAAAAGUGACAAAACCAAGAAAAUAACAAAAUUUUCACUUAAAUAAAAGAGGGAAAAAAAAUAGCACAUCCUAUAAGCCAAAAUAAGGGCGAGGGGUUUAGGGUUUAGGGUUAUUAGACCAAGACUACCAAAAUGUCUAAUGACUUUUAUAACGAAACAUCUAGUUUAGAUUGAUACAUAUGAUAUGUAGCAUCUUCACAGCAUCCAAGAUCAAGAGUCGAUAUAUUAUCAUGAAAAGAAAGUACAAAAGGGAAGUUAGGGAAAAACUUGGAGUCAACGUUAAGAGAACCAUUAAAAGUUUUAGAAGUUCAAUUAAUAUUUGUAAAAUUUUAAGAGCUAAAUUUUUAUAAUCCAACGUUUGAGGUCUAGUAAUUGCAAUUGACCAUCAUACUUCAGGGAUAAUUUUUGAAAAUUUCCUUUUCUAUUAUUAAAUUAUCAAGAAAAAAAAGUUUAAUGACGGUCAAAAUAAUCCCUGGCGUCCAUAUAAUAAUUUUCAAUAACAUUUCACGACACUAAAAAAAAUUGGAACUUUGCUCACAUUUUUCUAAGAAACGUAAAUAUUUUGUCAACUUUACUAUAUAUAUAUUAUUGUUACUCUUUUAAAAACUUAAGUAAUUUUGAUUCGACCAAUUUUUUUUGCUAUCAACUACAAUUGUUAAAAAAUAUAUAUAUACGAAAAAAAAUGGUUAAUUUUCAUUCACAAAAUAUUUAAAAAAGUAAAAUUUUAAAUUUGUCUCGUAUCUUUUGGAAUAAGGUUUGUCUUUAAUUAAGGAAAUUUAAAAGUUGCUAAAACAUAGCUAAAUUAAACAAAAGUUACUUUUUUAAAGAAAAUUUUUUAAAUAACAAAAUUAUUAAAAAUAUAAUUAAAUUAGAAUUUUUGAAUCUAUUAUUGAUAUAAUUAAGAAAAGUCUAUCAACAUAUAUCAAUUCUAAUAUUUUAUUAUAUUUUAAUUCAUUUGGUUAUAUUUAACAACUCAUUCCCACACAAACUAUAAUUCAAAUUAAAAACAUAUUUGAACAAAUAUUUUGUAUAAUUUAAGUGAUGAAUCGCACUAAUAUUGUUAAAAUGUGUUUAAAAUGUGAUACUUUUCCCACCAUAUUUUAUAGCAAAUGGCAGAUAAUUUAAUGUUUCUUUGAAGCAAGAAUUAGGCAAAGAAGCAUAUAUAUAUAUAUAUAUAUAUAUAUAUAUAUAUAUAUAAUAUAUAUAUAAUAUGUAAUUAAAUUUUAUAUUAUAGUUAUGCAAAAUCGUUUCAUAAGCCACUUCAUCUCUCUCUAUUUCAUGGCAUCAAGUAAACAAAAAGGGAAAAAGGGAAAAAGAGACCUAAUAAAAUAUGUGUUCUUUAAUUGGUGGAUUUUUAAUUAGCAUUAUUAAUUAAUCAAUCAUGUAAAUAUCCUACAAAGAAUAUUUGUUCUUAAGAUAAUUCAUUGCAUGAUGAAUCAAAAUUUUAGGUUGGGUGUUCCUGUAUACUUAAAAACAUUAUUGCAUUACCAAAUUAAAUUUAUACAAACCAAACGAUAUCAUUUUGUUCGUAUUAAGUUCGUUUAAGUUUAGAUGGUAUAUGAAAGUUGGUUUGUUAUGUUUAGGUUUAUUAAACAACAUUGUAUUUAGACGAUAGUGUAAACUUUAAGUUGUUAAACAUGUGUUUUAUCUUAGUCUAAUGUCGUCUAAUACAAAUAUAUUAUGAUACUUUUUAAUAUUUAAAAAUAUUUUUAGAAGUUUUAUAAAUUAAAAUAAUUUUUCUAAAAAUUAAGUUUCAUCAUUUUUAAGAGGAGAAAAGACACCCUAAACAUAAAUUAAAGAAAAUAGAAUGAUAUUGUAUUAAUUACAUAAAUUUAAUCAAAAAUUAAGAACUAAAAAUAAAAUUGUUAUCAAAAUGAAAAUUCAUUUUAACAUUCAAACCAUCCAAAAAAAAGAACAUCUAAUUACUCUAUUGUAACAGAAGUUUUAUCCUCUUAAGAAAAAAAUAGUUUAAUGUUAAAAGAGUAUACAAAACGUGUUAAUAAGUACACAACUCAAUUAGCAUAAAGCUUAAAUUUUAUUUAGAUCAAGACUCAAAUCUAUGAGAUCACAGGAUAUUGCAAAUUUAGGAUUUUAGGUUAUCGUUUAAAGUUCUAAAAUAUUGCAAAAUGGUGCAAGUGGGAAGAUGGGAUCCAAAUCAAGUAUGGAUAUGAUUUAGUUCCAAUUAUAAUUUAAGGUUAUAGUUUAAUGAUUUAGUUACAACACUUUAGUGUUUUGCCUCUUGAACUUCCCUUAAGCUAUAAUCCAUAAUUAAUAAUGUUUUUGAGCACGUGCCUUCUCUUUAAUUGCCACUAAGGUACCACACUAUAGAGAAGAGCUAAUGAAUCCUUGUUUUCUAUAUAAGGAGAUGGAUCAAUGCAUUCUAAGCAUAUACUCCUAUCCAUGGCUAUUUCUAGAGUGUUGUGCAUUGGCUUUCUUCUUUUUGUGGGGUUAGGGUUAGCUUCGGCUGCCCGAACUCUUCUUGAUUAUGAUCCACGUGCACGUCGUUAUGAUUACGAUCGUCCUACUCCAAGAGUAGGAUACGAUCCAAGCCAUCGUGAUCAAUCCUAUGAUAAUGUAUAUGGUGGAAGCUCUAGCAGAGGAUAUGGAGCUGGAGACUCUGCUCUUGGAGGUUCGGGACGAUAUGAAGGUGGUGGAGGACGUGAUUACGGACAUGGAGGCCGAAAUGAUGAUCGUGGUGUUGGAUAUGGAGGUCGAAAUGAUGAUCGUGGUGCUGAAUAUGGAGGUAGAAAUGAUGAUCAUGGUGCUGGAUAUGGAAGUCGAAAUGAUGAUCGUGGUGUUGGAUAUGGAAGUCGAAAUGAUGAUCGUGGUGUUGGAUAUGGAAGUCGAAAUGAUGAUCGUAGUGUUGGAUAUGGAGGCCGAAAUGAUGAUCGUGGAGUUGGAUAUGGUAAUGGUGGUGGAUAUGGAGGUGUAGGAGGACAUGGUGAUGGUUAUGGUAACAAUGGUGGUGGAAGCUAUGGAGAUCGUUAUGGCCCUUCUCUUGGAGGUUCAGGAUAUGGAAGUGGAGGAAAAGGAAGUGGCAAUGGCUAUGACGAUCAUUCUCGUGGAAAUGGUGCGCGUGACAAUAGCUAUGGAGAUUCUCAUGGACAUGAAGGACGUGACAGUGGAUAUGGAAGUGGUGGAGGAGUUAGUGGAGGCUAUGGCAAUGGAGGAGUUCAUGGAGGGGAGCAUGAUAAUAGCAAAGGAAGUGGAGAAGAAGGGGGUAGGGACGGUGGAUAUGCUUUCAAAAAUUCCAUCUCAAAGGAGAAUUGAGAACUCUUUUUCAAGUAAUGAACCCAAUAUCAUAUUAUGUUAACAAAAAAAAUAAAGAAUUGGGUAUAAGAGAAUGUUGUUUUCUAAAUUUAUGUUGAAUUUGUUACCAACGAAUGUCAAAUUCGAAUCAAUGGGUACAAUGAUAAUCAAAUUUAGGUUAUGUUUAUUGUGAUAAAUUUAUUGCACUCUUAUUUGUUUUGUUUCUCUAUAUAUAUUUUUUCUAUAUAUCCAUAUUAAUAUGGGUGGUUUUGGACCGAAGAAAAAAACAUCAUCUAAAAGUUUUUCGUUAAAAUCAUAUAAUUCUUACCUAAUAUCAAUGUUUGUUAGCAAAAAGUAAAAGAAUUUAGGUAAGAAUGUUAUGUUUCUCUUUGAAUUUUAGUAACUUUUUCAAUGAAGUUGUGAUAUUAUAAAAUCUAGUCAUUUCAUGAAGUUCUAAAGGCAAACAAGCAUGCACCAAAUACUCUAGCUAAUACAACGUACGCCAUUCCAAACGUGCUAUUUUAUGGAUUUCAAAGUUAAACUUUGAAACAAUCUUUUAAUACGUUCUAAACACAAAUUAUUUAACAUAAAUCAUGGGCUAAUCAAGUCCAAACUUAAUAGAUCAAACUCAUCAUUCCAAAUGUCUCCUACAUAACUUGUAGAAAAUUUUAAGAUUUAGUUCGAAUAUAUUAAAUUCGAUGUUCCAAGUUGUUUUAACAAAAUUGAAAAACUUCACCAUUAUUUUGAGAUUUUUUUUUAUGAUUACAUCCUUUAAUUUAUUGAAUAAUUAUAAACAAUCUUGGUUUCAAGAGAAUUAUAUUUACGCAACGAUCAUUUGCAGAUGUUCAAAAUAUUUCUACCCUCAAUUAUACUUACAGAAAAACAUUUGUUGCACUUAUCUCUUCCAAACCAUAAUAGUUUUUAGGAAAAGAAAAAAGAGACAUGUUUAUGAAAGAAAAUUAGGCUACGAUGCUCAUUGUCGUGGAUAUGGAGCGCGUGACAACGGGUAUGGGAGGUGGAGGAGUUAGGGGUGGCUAUGGUGGUGGUAGCAAAUUGAAGAGAUGGUUAUGGUAAAUAGAGAGGUGUUCAUGGAGGAGAAUAUGAUAAUGGCAAAGGAAAUGGAGAAGAAGGAGGUUGUGAGGGUGGAUAUGCACUCAAAAUUAAUUCCAUCUGAUCAAAAGAGAAUUGAGAAACUUUUUUUUUUUUUUUGUAAGUAAUGAACCCAAUAUUCAUAUUAAUUGCACAACAAAAAAUAAAGAAAUUGGGUAAGAGAGAACGUUGUUUUCUAAAUCUUAUGGGUGGAAGGUUUGCAUGUUCGUGAAUGUAAAUAUCAAAUCAAUUUUUUAAUGAUAAGCAAAUUUGGAGUAAGUGUGCAUUUAUACUGUGACAAAUUGAAUCAACCACAUAUACGUUAUUUUGUUUUUCCAAUGAUAUUUAUUAUAUAAGAGGAUUUUAUCUCAAAAUCAAUCAACAAAUACGUGAAUAGUAAUACGUCAAUUUUAUAAACAAUAAUGAUGAUCUCUUGAAUUUUUCAUGUGAAAUUAUCAACAUUCUCCAUGUAUUGUUCUCGGUUAUUAUUUUUGUAACCAAAGUGUAAUCCUCCAAAAAAAUACAAAAUUGACAACCAAGAAAAUAACUAAAUUUUCAUUUAAAAAGAAAAAAGAGAAUAGCAUAUCAAAUAUCAAAUAGCCAUGCAAAAUAAGCUUAACUAGGGGAGAGGGAGUCUAUAAGUCAAAUUGCAUAGUCUAAACCAAGGCUAACAAAUGAAUGAUGAUCCUACGAUAAAAUAUCUUAAGUAGAUUGAUACAUAUGAUAUGUAGCAUCUUCACCGCAUCUAAGAACAAGAGUCGAUGUGUUAUCACAAAAAUAAAAUACAAAAGGGAAGUUUGGGAGAAAAUUAGAGUUAUAAUAAUGUUGAGAGAGAUCCAAUUAAUUAAUACUCUUAAAAUUUUAAGAGAUAAAUUUUUAUAUUUGAGAAUUUAAAUGUGUAAUUGCGACUAAUUAACCAAUCGUGUUGAUUUUUGCAAUUUACCUUUUUUUAUUAAAUUUUCAAGAAAAAAAUAUUUAAUGACGAUCAAAAUGAUCCAUGACGUACAUACAAUUAUUGUCAAACAUUCCAUGUUACUAAAAGAAAAUUGAAACUUUCUCCAACGUUAUAAAUAUUUUAUCCACUUUACUAUUUUUUUUAUUAUUUCCCUAAUUUUGAUUCAAUCAAUUUUCUAGCUAUCAACUACCAUUCUUUAAAAAAAAAUCAAAUAUACAAAAAUAAAAAAUUGUCAAUUUUCGUCCAAAAAAAUUUUAAAAUAAAAUUUGGAAUUUGGAAUAUGGUACCUUUUGGAAUAAGUUUUAAAGCCUUUGAUUAAAAAAAAAAAGUUGCUUCAACCAAAAUCAUUGUAAAUAAUGUUGAAAUUAUAAAAUUAUUAAAAAUAUUUAUAAAUAUAGACAAACUAAAAUUUUAGAAUCUACCGUUGAUGUAACUAAUAAACGUAUAUCAGCGUCUACCGAAUAUAUUCUAAAAAACGGUAAUAUUUUAUAAAUAUUUUAGUAUGUUUACCCUUUCACAAACUUAAUUAAAAUUAUAAUCCAAAUCAAAACCUAUCCAAACAAAUAUUUGGUGUAACUUAAGGGAUGAAUCGCACUAAUAUGACUCAAACAUAUUUUGAGAAACGUGUUUAAAAUGUGAUAAAUUUUUCCACAAUAUUUUAUAGCAAAUGGCAAAUAAUUUAAAGUUUCUUUGAAGCAAGAAUUAGGCAAAGAAGCAUGUAUAUAUAUACAUAUAAUGUAAUUAAAAUUUAUAUUAUAGUGAUGCAAAAUCGUUUCAUAAGCCACUUCAUCUCUCUCUGUUUCAUGGCAUCUUAAGUACACAAAAAGAGAAAAAGGGAAAAAGAGACCUAAUAUAAUAUGUGUUCUUUAAUUGGUGGAUUUUUAUUUAGCAUUAUUAAUUCAUCAAUCACCAAGAAUAUUUAUUCUCAACAAAGUUAUUGAAUGAUAUUAAAUUUACAAGAACUAAAUGAUAUAUCAUUUCGUUUCAUAUUAAAUUUUUGUAAGUUUAGAUAAUUUAUGAAAGUAGGUUUGUUAUGUUUAGGUUAACUAAACACAUACAUGUUAAAUUGAAUAUGUGUUUUAUCUUGGUCAAUUGUGCAAAGUGGAUCCGUGGCGCAAUGGUAGCGCGUCUGACUCCAGAUCAGAAGGUUGCGUGUUCGAUUCACGUCGGGUUCAAUGUCCAUUUUUUAUUUUAGUCAUUUGUGAUCACAAAUAAAUUUAAACCUCAUAAUCAUUGCAUUUUAGGUUAUUGUGUAAAGUUAUAAAACAUUACAAAGUGGAACAAGUAUUGAUAUGAUUUCGUUCCAAUUAUAAUUUAUUUUUAUAGUUUAAUGAGACAUACGAAAAAGCCAACACUUUAGUAUUUUGCCUCUUGAACUUUACUUAAGUUAUAUAUAAAAAAUUAAUAAUGUUGUUGACCACAUGCCUCCUCUUUAAUUGCCACUAAGGUACUACACUAUAGAGAAGAGCUAAUGAGUCCUUGUUUUCUAUAUAAGGAGAUGGAUGAAUGCAUUCUAAGCAUACAUUCCUAUCCAUGGCUAUCUCUAGAGUGUUGUGCAUUGGCUUUCUUCUUUUUGUAGGUUUAGGGUUAGCUUCGGCUACCCGAACUCUUCUUGAUUAUGAUCCACGUGCACGUCGUUAUGAUUACGAUCAUCCUACUCCAAGAGUAGGGUACGAUCCAAGUCAUCGUGAUCAAUCAUAUGAUAAUGCAUACAGUGGAAGUUCUAGUAAAGGAUAUGGAAUUGGAGACUCUACUCUUGGAGGUUCUGGACGAUAUGGAGGUGGCAAAGGACAUGAUUCCGGAUAUGGAGGUCGAAAUGAUGAUCGCAGUACUGGAUAUGGAGGUCGAAAUGAUGACCGCAGUGAUGGAUAUGGAGGUCGAAAUGAUGACCGCGGUGCUGGAUACGGAGGUCGAAAUGAUGAUCGCGGUGUUGGAUAUGGAGGUCGAAAUGAUGAUCGCGGUGUUGGAUAUGGAGGUCGAAAUGAUGAUCGUGGAGUUGGAUAUGGUAAUGGUGGUAGAUAUGGAAGUGUAGGAGGACAUGGUGAUGGUUAUGGUAACAAUGGUGGUGGAAGCUAUGGAGAUCGUUAUGGCCCUUCUCUUGGAGGUUCAGGAAAAGGAAGUAACAAUGGCUAUAACGAUCAUUCUCGUGGAAAUGGAGGACGUGACAGUGGCUAUGGAGAUUCACAUGGACAUGAAGGACGUGAGAGUGGAAAUGGAAGCGGUGGAGGAGUUAGUGGUGGCUAUGGUAAUGGAGGAGUACAUGGAGGAGAGUAUGAUAAUAGCAAAGGAAGUGGAGAAGAAGGGGGUAAUGAUGGUGGAUAUGCUGUCAAAAAUUCUAUCUCAAAGGAGAAUUGAGAAUUCCUCUUUUUCAAGUAAUGAACCCAAUAUCAUAUUAUGUUAACGAGAAAUAAAGAAAUUGGGUGAGAGAAUGUUGUGUUUUAAAUUUAUGUUGAAUUUUCUUUGAAUAAUUCGAAUCAAUAGGUACAAUGAUAAUCAAAUUUGGAUUAUGUUUGUUGUGACAAAUUGACUGUACCCUAUUUUGUUAUAUUUCUCUAUAGAUUUUUUUAUAUAUAUCCAUAUUAAUACGGGUGAUUUUGAACUGAAUCAAAUGACAUAAACAAAGAGAAAAAAAUAUUGUCUAAAAGUUUAUUUGUUAACACCUUAUAAUUCUUAGUAACUUUUUCAAUGAAUGUGUGAUAUUAUAAAAAUAAGUUGUUUCAUGGGAUUCCAAGGAUGGACAAAAGAUGCAUAAAAUACUCUAACUAAUAAAAUGUACACCAUUCCAAACGUGCUAUAUUUUAUGAUUUUCAAAGUUAAACUUUGAAACAAUCUUUUAACACCUUCUAAACACAAAUUAUUUAUCAUACAUGGUGGGCUAAUCAAGUCCAAACUAAUUAAUAGGUCAAACCCAUCAUUCCAAUUGUCUGCUACACGUAACUUAUAAAAAUUUUCAAGAUUUAGUUUGAAUAUUUUAAAUUCAAUGUUUCAAGUUUUUUUAACAAAAUUGAAAAAACUUCACCAUUUUCUUGAGAUUUUCUUAUUAUGAUUACAUCCUUUAAUUUGUUGAAUAAUUAUGUACGAUCUUGUUGCAAGAGAAUAAUAUAUAUAUAUUAUUAUAUUAUAUAUAUACAUACAUUCAUUCAUUUAGGUUUAUGUGGUUCAAAAUCUUUCUACCCUCAAUUAUACUUAAAAAGCAUUGGUUGCACUCUUCUCUUCCAAACCAUGAUAGUUUUUAGGAAAAAAAAGAAACAUGUUGAUGAAAGAGAAUUAGACUACGAUGAUCAUUCUCGUGGAUAUGAAGCGCGUGACAACGGAUAUGGGAGUGGUGGAGGAGUUGGUGGUGGCAGCGAAAAAGGUGGUUAUGGUAAUAGAGAGGUGUUCAUAAAGGAGAAUAUGAUAAUCGGAAAGGAAAUGGGGAAGAAGGAGGUUCUAAUGGUAGAUAUGCACUCAAAAUUAAUUUCAUCUAAUCAAAAGAGAAUUGGAAACUUUUUUUUAAGCAAUGAACCCAAUAUUCAUAUUAAUUGGGCAACAAAAAUAAAGAAAUUGGGUAAGAGACAACGUUGUUUUAUAAAUCUUAUAUGUCAUUAGUUUACUUUUUGGUGAAAGUAAAUAAUUUGGAUUAAGUAUGCAUUUGUAUUAGAACAAAUUGAAUCCAACCAUAUACACAUUAUUUUACUUUUUUAAUAAUAUUUUUUAUUAAAUUAGAUGGUUUUAUUUUAAAAUUAAUUGAUAAUUACGUGAAUAGUAAUAUGUAUAUCUUAUAAACAAUAAUGUUGAUCUCUUCAAUUUUUUAUAUGCAGAAUUAUCAACAUUCUCCACCUAAUGUUCUAGGUUAUUUUUGUAAUCAAAGUGUAACUCUCAGACAAAAACAAAAACGAAAAAACCAAGAAAAUAACUAAAUUUUCAUUUAAAAAGAGAAAAAAGAAUAGCAUAUCAAACAUCCAUCCAAAAUAAGCAUAAUUAAGGGAGAGGGGGCCUAUACGUCAAUUGCUUAGUCUAAACCAAGACUAACAAAUGCCUUGUCCUAUGAUAAAAUAUUUAUAUUUCAAAGAUACAUAUAUUUUCACUACAUCCAAGAUCAAGAGCCAUUGUAUUAUAACAAAAGAUUGUACAAAAGGGGAGUUGGGGAGAAACUUAGAGUCAUAAUGUUCAAAGAGAUCUAAUUAAUACUUGUAAAAUUUUAAGAGCUAAAAUUUUGUAACAGAGAUUGAGAGUGUAAUCGCAACAAAUAAUCAUACUUCAAUGGUUGAUUAAUUUAUCAAGAAAAGUUUUAAAAAAACAUUUAAUGACAGUCAACAUCAACCCUUUCACGUCAUUAAAAGAAAAUUGGAACUUUGCCCACAUUUCUUUAUUAUUUUGCUAUUAAAAAUUAAUUUUGAUUCAAUCAAUUUUUUAGUUAUCAACUACUAUUCUUAAAAAAAUAUAUAUAUAUACAAAAAUUACGAAAAAGAAAUAUUACUUCUCAAACAAGAAUCAUCUUAAAUAAUCAUCCUAUCCAUUUUAAAAAAUAUAUAUAUUUUCAAUAAAUUAAAUAAUAAAAUUAUUGAAAAUAUUUAUAAAUAUAACUAAAAUAAAACUCUAAAAUCGAUGGAGGAUGUAACUUAUGAAAGUCUAUUAGCAUCUAUCAUUAACAUAUUCUAAAAUAUUUUUGUAAAUAUAUUUUGUUUCAUUUUGCUAUACUUAAAAAUAACCUUCCACAAAUUUAAAACUCAAAUUAAUCAAAACCAAUCCCAACAAAUAUUUUGUAUAAUUUAUGCGAUGUGCAUAAAUACGCAUUUUCCCACCAUAUUUGAUAGCAAAUGGCAAAUUAUUUAAUGUUUGUUUGAAGCAAGAAUUAGGCAAAGAAGCAUAUAUCUAUAUAAUAUGUAACUAGAUCUUAUAUUAUAGUGAUGCAAAAUCGUUUCAUAAGGCACUUCAUAUCUCUCUGUCUCAUGGCAUCUUAAGUACACAAAAUGAGAAAAAGGGAAAAAGGGCCCUAAUAUAAUAUGUGUCCUUUAAUUGGUGGAAUUUUAUUUAGCAUUAUUAAUUAAUCAACCGUGUAAAAUAUGGUAGGAAGAAUUAUUCUAAUGAUGAAUGAAAAUUUUAGGUUGGGAGGUCCCAUAUAUGAAGCAUAUGAGAAAUUUUCAAUCUUAAAAGAGUGAAUUAUCAAAUUAAAUUUACAUGAACGAAAUGAUAUAUCAUUUGGUUUGUAUUAAGUUUGUUUAAGUUUAGAUGAUUUACGAAAAUAGGUUUGUUAUGUUUAGGUUGACAAAACGACACUGUAUUUAGAUGAUGGUGUAAAUUUUAACAUGUUAAACAUGUGUUUUAUCUUGGUUUAUUGUGAUCUAAUACAAAUAAAUAUCGUUAUUGAAUUUUAGGUUAUCGUGUAAAGUUGUAAAAUAUUACAAAGUGGUGCAAGUGGGAAAAUGGGAUCAAAAGGAGAGUAUUGAUAUGAUUUCGUUCCAAUUAUAACUUAUUUUUUUAGUUUAAUGAGACAUAGGAAAAAGCCUACACUUUAGUGUUUUGCCUCUUGAACUUCCUUUGAGCUAUAUAUCCAAAAUUAAUAAUGAUUUUUUAGCACGUGUCUCCUCUUUAAUGGCCUCUAAGGUACCACACUAUAGAGAAGAGCUAAUGAAUCCUUGUUUUCUAUAUAAGGAGAUGGAUCCAUGCAUUCUAAGCAUACAUUCCUAUCCAUGGCUAUUCCUAAAGUGUUGUGCAUUGGCUUUCUUCUUUUUGUGGGUUUAGGGUUAGCUUCGGCUGCCCGAACUCUUCUUGAUUAUGAUCCACGUACACGUCGCUAUGAUUACGAUCAUCCUACUCCAAGAGUAGGGUACGACCCAAGUCAUCGUGAUCAAUCCUAUGAUAGUGCAUACAGUGGAAGUUCUAGUAAAGGAUAUGGAGUUGGAGACUCUGCUCUUGGAGGUUCUGGACGAUAUGAAGGUGGUGGAGGACGUGAUUCCGGAUAUGGAGGUCGAAAUGAUGAUCAUGGUGUGGGAUAUGAAGGUCGAAAUGAUGGUCGUGGUGCUGGAUACGGAAGUCGAAAUGAUGAUCGCAGUGCUGGAUAUGGAGGUCGAAAUGAUGAUCGUGGUGCUGGAUAUGGAGGUCGAAAUGAUGAUCGUGGUGCUGGAUAUGGAGGUCGAAAUGAUGAUCACGGUGCUGGAUAUGGAAGUCGAAAUGAUGAUCAUGGUGCUGGAUAUGGAGGUCGAAAUGAUGAUCGUGGGGUUGGAUAUGGUAAUGGUGGUGGAUAUGGAAGUGUAGGAGGACAUGGUGAUGGUUAUGGUAACAAUGGUGGUGGAAGCUAUGGAGAUCGUUAUGGCCCUUCUCUUGGAGGUUCGGGAUAUGGAAGUGGAGGAAAAGGAAGUGGCAAUGGCUAUGAUGAUCAUUCUCGUGGAAAUGGAGCACGUGACAAUAACUAUGGAGAUUCUCACGGACAUGAAGGACGUGACAGUGGAUAUGGAAGUGGUGGAGGAGUUAGCGGAGGCUAUGGCAAUGGAGGAGUUCAUGGAGGGGAGCAUGAUAAUAGCAAAGGAAGUGGAGAAGAAGGGGGUAGUGAUGGUGGAUAUGCUUUCAAAAAUUCCAUCUCAAACAAGAAUUGAGAACUCUCUUUUAAGCAAUGAACCCAAUAUCAUAUUAUGUUAAAGAAAAAUAAGGAAAUUGGGUAAGAAUGAAUAAUGUUGUGUUCUAAAUGUAUGUUGAAUUUACUUCAAAUGAAUGCUAAAUUUGAAUCAAUGAAUUAUGUUUGGAUUAUGUUUGUUGUUACAAAUUGAUUCCACCUUUCUUUUUGUUUUGUUUCUCUAUACAUUUUUCUAUAUAUCCAUAUUAAUAUGGAUUGAUUUUGGACCGAAUCGAAUGACAUAAUAAUCUAUGCCAAAUAAGAGUAAAACCACAUAGCCAAGAAAAUGAUAAGAGUAAAAGGAAAAAUAGUAUGUACAAUGUAAGACAAAUAAUUGUGUCUAGGAGAAGAGGGUGUUACUCAAGCCAAUGCAUUUAACCUCGACAAGACUCAACCUCAAGUUGAGCCUAACAAAAUGUCUAGUUGGGCAUACCCUUGUCAAAAUGCAUCACUUUAAUUAAGACUAAAAUAAACAUAUAGAGAAGGGAGUUUGAGCUUGAUAGGUCGAGACCAAUCCUAGCAGAAUAUUAAACAGAACUUGCCCUUCACAUGCCUCAACCUAAGUGAGUUGAAAAGGUUAUCGUAUCGUACCUCCAAAACUCUAUUCGGACAUAACCUAACUAAUUAACUAGGUUUAUUUAAUUCUACAAAUAAAUCAUUAGAGCUCUACAGAAACAAACUCUAUUCUCACUCAAUUUCUUUGACAUUUUUCAACUCUCUCUAAAAGCCAAAUAGGCACAACCCUAAAUCCUUACAUCUUCAAACCCUGUGUUUUAAUUACUAUGGAUAAAAGAGAACACAAAUCAAAUUUUACUUUCUUAUAUUUAGAUCAUAUUUCUUUUGAAAUUCAAAGUAAUGGAUAACACAAUAUGCUUCCAUUUCUAAUUUAAAUGAAAAUUUCAACAUUCCUAAUUACUGAUUUAUUUACACAAAAUAGCCCAAAGUAAAUAACUAUAAGUGAGUUUUCUUUACUAUUAUUUUGGUGAGUGAAGAUACUAUGAGUUUUUAUAUCACUAAAAUGUGAUAAUUUUUCCAACCAUUAUUGUAUUAGCAAAUGGGAAAUAAAUUAUUUAAUAAUGUAUCUAUAAAGUGGGAAGAAUUAGGGAAACAAAAUGCAUAAUUAAAUAUGUAAAAAAACUAUAGUAAUGCUAUGUCGUUUCAGAAACCAUUUGAAGAGUUAAGGAAAAAAGAGGGGAAAAAAAGCUCUAAUAUAAUAUAUGCUCUUUAGUCCUUUUUCUUAAAAAAAAAUUAAUGCUCUUUAAUUAGUUUGAAAUAGCCAUAUAAAUUAAAUAUCUUCCUAAAAGGAAAGAUGGGUUCUCAAGAAAAAAUAUAUUUCAAUGCUUCUUUUUCUUUUUCUUUUUCUUAAUCCUUGUUGAUGAAGAGAAUUCAGGCUUAAAAAUGGAGAAUUUCAUAUUUUCUAAUAUUUUACACUUUUUUCAACCUCAUAAACAAAUUUUGAUUAAAUGGUUGUAGUAAAGAUACUUUUCUUUUUUUUUCACCAAAAACAGCUUUAUUUUAUUUUAAUCUUCUGUCAUAUUUGUAUCGAGAAAAUUAAAUAAAUACUAUUUUUUUUCAAUAUAUUUAAUUUCGUUUUAAAAUAAAGGGAAAAUCCCUAGAAAUCAUCACUUUUCUCUUCUUCUUUGAAGACCCUCUUCUUUUAUGGUAUAACUUUCAUUAGUUGUUCUUAAUAUGCUUCUUUUAACUUUAACUGUCAAAUAUAUAUAUACACAUACAACGAUAAUUUAUCCUUAAUAUCAGAUAUAAAGUUUUUUUUAUGCAUGGCUCUAAUCCAAAAGACUUCAAAAAAAAAAUUACCAAAAUGUAAAUCGAUGAUGAGAAAUUAAAAAAUUGAUAUGGCUAAUGUUUAAUAAGCUAGAUUGAUUGAUAAGUUACUCAUCCCACAAUUACUUGAUUUUGAGAUGAAACGUCAAGUUAUCUAAUAUUAUAUCGUAACUCGCGAAAACAUAAACGAACAUUCAGAUCAAAAAAAUAAAUAUUGGAGUCCAAUUCAAGAAUGAUGAACCCAAAGAGAGACAUCAUUUAUCAAUGGUGUGUAUACUAGCCAAGGAUCUUAUCAUGCUAGAAUAAUUGAGGGACCUUUUAUGUUUAUAUAUAAGAUGUAUAUGUUUCUUCUCUUAUAUUUUAUAUUGGUUUUAAGAUGUAAAGCUCAUGUUAUCUAAUAUAUGAUGUCGGUUGUUCGAAAAUUCGAUGUAAAAAUAGUAAAUAAUCGAAAGAAGCACGGAUCCCAAAAGGACAUAUCAAGGAAACCUCACACCAUGCAUCUUUAUAAGUCCCUCACACCAUGCAUUCAAAAACUAUAAUUGAGGGACCUCACACCAUGUCAUGCAUCUUUAUAACGUCAAUCAUACAUAUCUAUUAUUAAUUUCCUCUCAUAUGGCUCAUGAUAUACUACGUGUAACAAUUUUUCAUUGCCAAGAAAUUUCCAAAUUGUAAUAGUGGUAAGUUAUGAAAUGAUUUUCUUACAAAUAUCUUCAUAGAUAAAUUAAUAAUAAAACAUCAUGUGUGAACGGCAGAAUCCAAUUGACUGAAAAAUCAUUUUGGAGUAAUAUUAUCGGUUGUGAGCACAAUCCUUUGAUCUAUUUGGUGGGAAAGAAACAGUAGAACCUUUACUUGAGAAGCUAUAAUUCUUACAUUUUUAUUAAUUAUCAUAUUACUUCGUCUUUAUUUUAAAAAUAUUCAUACAAGACAUGAGAGAUUAGCAUAGGCAUUCAAAUAUCAAUACCUUUGAACAAAAAAGCUUUUCCUUGGCCCUAAAAAAGUUGUACAACAAUUAACAAAACACUCCAAUAUUAAGGUUAAUAGGAAGAAUGCCUAAACUUAACUAUAAAAAUUGUUUGGAACUACAAAACUAAGCAAACUAAGGUGGCUAAACUCAACAUGAAAAUAAAGAAGAGUAAUUUAAACUUAGAUAUUUAUUCAUGUCACCUAAACUUUUAAAGUCGUUUUUGAUUGCAUGCUCCUCUAAACUUUAUCAAAUCUUGCGAGAUCAUGUAAGGGGAAAGAUGGAAUCAACUUAGCCUUACUUUAAUUUAAUAUGUUUUAGUACCACAUGUCAACAUAAAAUAAAGAAAUUAGGUUAGAGAGAAGGUUGUGAUCUAAAUCUAAGUACAUUAAUUAAUGUCAAAUUUCAAUCCAUGUUUGAAUGAUAAACAAAUUUGGAGUAAAGAAUAUUACUCAACCAUACAUAAGUAAGACUUCAACUCUAAUUGAAAGGGGCUGACAAGUAUAGUUACUCCUAAACUGUCUACAAAUAUUAAAUAUUAUAUGAAGACAAUAAAGUUAAGGGGAGUUCGAGUCCCCUAGACCUAUACUAAAUCCGUCGGUCAUGGUGAUGGUGCACAACACUCAAUUGUUCAACACAACUAUGAUGAAUUUUUUUGUUUGUUGGGAGAGAAAACACUAAUAUGUUUUAUUUCAUUAAAAUGUGAUAUUUUUGUCCCAUGAUUAUUGUAUAGAGAAAUGGGAAAUUAUAUAUAUAGUGUAAGCUUCAAGUGGGAAUUAGGAAACACAUGCAUAAAUAUAAAGUUACGAUAAUUAUAGUAAUGCAAUGUCGUUUCAGAAGCCCAUUAUUCAUCCUCUCAAUUAUCUCAUGCAUGGUGGCUCUCAUCAAGUUGAGAAAAAGGAAAAAAAAUAGGCCUAAUAAAAUAUAUGUUCUUUGUUUCUUGGUAACCAUUGUAAAUUAAUCGUAAUAUAAAUAUCUUCUAAAAGAGAAAAAAAGAAGACUCUCAAGACAAAUUAUCAUGCUUCGUCAAUCCUCUUUUUUUUUUUUUUUUUUUUCCUCAAUCUUUAAUGAUAGAAGAAAAUUUUAGCUCAAUAAAAUUGAAAUUUUUGUAUUUUAAAAAAUUUAUGAUGUUUUUUAACACGUGUAUAUAUAUAUAAUGAACAAUAUAACAAAAUAUCACAUUAAGUUUUACUAUAUAUUUAUAAAUAUUUUUUUAAUUAAUUUUUUCACUUAAUUUAAAAAUAUUUUUUCUAUAUAAAUAUUAUUAAUAAAGAACAAUUACAUUAGCUUCUCUUUUUACGUAUAACUCUUACUUUGGAUUGAACUUUUAACUCUUGAAAAGAGCAUUAGUGAGCCAAUUAAUUCACUUUGACUACAUAACUUUCUUUAGUUGCUUAAUAUAUUUGUUUUGGUGUUAAACUAUCAUUAUAACAGAACAAUUAGGAUAGUUUUCAUUUUCGUGUAUAACGUUUUUCUAUGGUCGAUAUCUAAGGAAAUAAUCAAAAAAACAAAUGUACUUACAAUAAAUUUCAUUGUGUCAUAAAAUGAAAUUUCCAAAUUAUGUAAGUGUUAAGUUGUAAAAGUUGAUAAUCAAAUUUCAAUGUGAAAUUAUAUAUUUUGGAAAUAUCUGCACCAUAGACAAAAAUUAAUAAACAAACUUCUCAAAAUUAAGUGUGUUAAUUAUAAGAGAAUGCCUAAACUUAACUAUAAAAAAAUAAGUUGGAGCCAAAACUAAUUAGCUAAAAUAUUAAGGUGAAUUUAUCACAAAAAGUACAAACAAGUGAAGUAAGGUGGUGUUGCAUAAAGCCUACUGAUUUUCAACUUUGGCUUUCUAAAUUUGAGCUCCUCACGUUUUCACACAAAAGCUUCUCACAACCUUUGAAUAAGAUCCUCUCAAAAGAACAUCAACUACUGAUGUAUUAAACUAAUAAAGAGCCAGCCUAGUUUACUUGACUACUAGUAACAUCCUCAACAGUGACGUACAUUUAAUUUCACAAACAGUGCGUAAGGAUUAAGGUUAAACAAUCUCUCAAAACAUGCACACACAGUAUUUUUAACAGAGCUAAUUAACCCUAAAAAUAAACAAAACUCAUAAUAUAUAUGGAAGCUGAUCUUGAGCAGAUAGGAAAAAAGAUUAUCAAAAAGAAUAGAAAAACAAAUUAAAUCAGCAGGUUUAAUUUUCCCUACACGGUUCAAUAGAUUAAGAAAAAAAUCUUGAUACAAAAUUCGAAGGAGAAAUAUAGAUUUUGACAGAAAAUGUUACAAAACAAGUUGCUCAAGUUUUGCUUGUAACAAAAUCCGCCAAUCGUAGUACAGUAACACAUAAGCAACUAAAAUGACUGAUCUCAACAAGAAUGGAAACACUAGAUAUGUUACAAGAGAACAUGCAUAAAUACAGUUUGGUCUAAUUAAAAAAACAGUGUCUUAGAUAACACAAGAAGGUAGAAAAAUAGAUGAGAGAGUAAUCAAACUUAGCUGACAAAUAUGGAUAUUAAUGAAUUUCACCUGAACUUUAUAUAGUUUUUCUUUACUCUUCUCUAAAUCUUACCAAAUAUUGCAAGAUCGUGUAAGUGGACAAUGGAAUAAUCGUAAUAAUCAAUUGAAGCCUUACAUAAAAUAUCGAUGUGUUUUAGUACCAAAAUCGAACUUUAGUUAGUACCUAAUAUGACAAAAGGCCUCACUACGUAGUAUUUUGCCUCAUGGACAUCCAUGGAGAAGUUGAUGAACCCACCACUUUUUUUAAACAUAUGACACCCUCUUUACCGUGAAGGACACCAUAGAGAAGUUGAAGAGACCCUCCACCCAUUUCCUAUAUAAAGAGAUCAAUGCAUGCAUUUUCUUGGCAUUCUACUCAUUCUCUAAUUCUCUCCAUGGCUAUCCUUAGAGCACUGUGCCUUGCCUUUCUUCUCUUUGUACGGUUAGGUUUAGCUUCGGCUACUAGAACUCUUCUUGAUUAUGAUCCACGUACACUUCAAUAUGGCUAUGAUCGUCCUAGUCCAAGAGUAGGGUAUGAUCCUGGCCAUGGGGAUGAAUCCUAUGAUAAGGCAUACGGUGGAAGCUCUAGUAGAGGACAUGGAAUUGGAGACUCUGCUCUUGGAGGUUCUGGAUACGAAGGUGGUGGAAGACACGAUUAUGGAUAUGGAGAUCGACAUAAUGAUCGUGGGGUUGGAUAUGGUAAUUAUGGUGGUGGAUAUGGAGGUGUAGGAGGACAUGGUGAUGGUUAUGGUAACAAUGGUGGUGGAAGCUAUGGAGAUCGUUAUGGACCUUCUCUUGGAGGUUCAGGAUAUGGAAGUGGAGGAAAAGGAAGUGGCAAUGGCUAUGACGAUCAUUCUCGUGGAAAUGGUGCACGUGACAAUAGCUAUGGAGAUUCUCAUGGACAUGGAGGACGUGACAGUGGAUAUGGGAGUGGUGGAGGAGUUACUGGUGGCUAUGGUAAUGGAGGAGUGCAUGGAGGAGAGUAUGAUAAUAGCAAAGGAAGUGGAGAAGAAGGAGGUUAUGAUGGUGGAUAUGCUGUUAAGAACUCCAUCUCAAAGGGAAAUUGAGAAACCCUUGGCUUCUUUUUCUUAUUAUACUAUGCCAGCUAAAAUAAAAAUAUGGGGUAAGGGAUCAAGAAUAUUGUUAUCUAAAUCUAUGUUUGAGUUGCUCUUGUAAUGAAUGUAAUUAAUGAUAUAAACAAAAUUUGGAUUACAUUUUGUAUGAACCAAGUGAUUGGACCAUAUACACUUCUAUUCUUAUUAACUUUGAUUUGAGUAACACAAGCAAUAAUUAAACUUUUUUAUUUAUGACUAAUUUUAAAACUUGGGUUAAUAAUGAUGCAAUAUACAUGAAGAUGUGGGAAGAGAAAGGUAUACAGAGUGUGGUGCUCACCCCACACUCAAACUUUGAUGAAUUCCUUUUUUAUUUUCUUUUUACAUAGUUUUAAAAUAACUUGACAUUUACUUCACAAGACUAAUAUCCUUUUCUAAUACUCAUUUAAAUAGUUUUUGUCAUGACGAGAUGGAUCCCAGAGUUGAUUAGUUUUAAAAUUUUACCUUUUCUAAUAUGACAAUGCUAUAAUCUUAAAUCGGUUUAGAAAAUCUAUUUUAGUAAUUGGAAACUCCUUUAGAUUUUUUUAAAUUCAUAUAAUCGUGAAAAUAUAAAUUAUGCAGAAGAGGUUUAGAAAACAAAAUUCAUGCAAUAGCCAAAUUUGCACUUCCUUUGCUAUUAUCAUACUCUCCUAUUUUUUUGUGAUUUUUCAUUUUUAACUAUAAUUUUACAUAUAUGUGCAUAUCAUAUAUAUAUAUUGGACAUGGUGCAUAAGCACUUUGAGAUUUAUAUAUCUCUCUAUAAAACGUGAUCAUUUUCCCUCCAUUAUUAAUUAUAGUAUUAUGAUAUCAAAUGGAAUAGAUUAUGUCUCAAGGUGGGAAUUAAUUAUAUAUUUAGCAUUGUAAAUGCAAAGUAGUUUGAGAAAACCCAUUUCUUCAUCUCAAUGAUCUAAAUGACAUAAACAAAGAGAAAAAUAGUAAUAAUUAAACCUAAUAAAUGUAUAAUAUAUAUAUGUGCGUGUGUUCUUUAAUAUUUUUACCUUGGUAGGUUUUUAAUUAUAUGCAUUAUUAAUUUUAAUAAUAAAUAUAUUUAAUUAUUACACCUACACUUAAAAGUUUUUUAUUUGCCCCAAAUCUUGGUAGAUCUUUCAAGCAAGUGGAAGGAUUUAGAUCAAAAGGCUAACUUAAAUAAUUGAUAUGAAAUUAGUUCAAAUCUACUUUUGGCCCUAAUCUUCUCACACCAAAAUUAUAUUGUGUUCCCCUACACAAUAGGGCUGCCUCUUCAACCUCUCUAUGAAGAUGAAAUGUCCUUUUUUAAGGAGAUAUUCAUGGAUGAUGCAUUAUUCUAAGCAAAUCUCUCCAGGAUUAAUAUUCCUAUUGGAUUUCCUUUUUCUUGUGGGUCGAAGAUUGAAGUUUUCUCGACUAUAGUUCUUAUACACAUCACUACAAUUCAUUACAAGCAUCAUAUCCUAAUCCAAAUGUAAAAUAUAGGAUCGUAUUUAUUGUGGUUGAACAUUUCAAAGUGUAAGAAUAUGAACAUCAACCACAACCUCUUAGAUUGAUUGUGUUUAUAUAAUGCAAAGACUAAAAGAGAUAUCAUUCCAUAAACCUUUAUAUAUAUAUAUAUAUAUAGAGAGAGAGAGAGAGAUAUAUAUAUAUAAAGAUAAAUUAAAUAACAUAUAUAUUUAGAAUACUCUAAGACGUAAUAUAAUGUUGGUAGUCGCAAUGCAAAAUCAAAGUUUUUUAAAUUGAUUUGCAUGUAAUGAUCUCACAACGAUCUGUUUCAUCUCACUUUCAAACCCAUCAGUUCAUUAGUAUUGGGCCUUGAUUAGCUCUCUAACAAAGCCCAAUAGUGUACAUAUUCAUCUCGAUUUUUCUAUGUUUUCUACCUCACUUUAGUUGUGUUAUAGGUCUCACAAUUUAGUAUUAUUCUAGAAAGUAAACUCAAGACGACGUCAAUCUGAUUUACAUGCUGUUAGGACGAGAGAAUUUUAUGUACAAACUCCAUAAUAUUUGAUUUAAUUCACUUGUCGACUUUUUAUAAAUUUGUGACUAGAAGUAUAUAUCUCGACUAUCUUUUGAUCAAUUUCUACACAGUUCUGUAAAUUUGUAUAAGAUGGAGGUUAUUUCAGCUUAUAGCCCUUGCGAUUAUGUAUUGCUUAUCUAAUUUGAGUUUGAAUAUGAGAAGUGUAUUGUAAUUGUAUAUAUCCAGUUAAAGUGUAUAAUCAGAUUGCUAAUGUAUAUAUGUUAGUAUAUGAAGAGAAGAAGAAGAAGAAGAAAUGUAAAGGUUGUUGAAGCUAAGUGUGGAACAAAAGGAGAGAUCCACUAGAGGGAAGCAAUAUGAGAUAAUGGAUCGACCCCACACGUUGUUAUGAUUCAAAACACUAAAGACAAAGAGAUUUGGGGAUUUGCAUGUGGGAAAUUCAUAAAUAUGUCCAUUAUACUUUCUCUUUUGCUGCUGCUUUUCUACUUCAUAGUUCACACAAACCCUUCUUUCUCCAAACUUACCCAAUUAUAUGUCACCUAACUUAGGUUAAAACAUAUAACACUACGAACCUCCGAGUCUACCUCCAAACGUUACUGUUAUAUUAUCAAAAUCUUGUGCUAAUUUAGUCUCUAUUGACAUUUUAUUUGUAUCAUACCUUUGAUAUUUUACUGAUCAUGGGAGAGAUAUUUGCUCCACACGCUCCUAUAUAGCAUUUCUUCGUAGUCUCUUUUAACCGUUAGAGCUAUCAAAUAGUGGCUCUUUCUUUAGCAACGGUUGUUAAAAAUGUAUUUUUCAAUGGCACUCUAUCUAAAGAGGGGUGUAUAUGAAAUCACCAUUGUGGCAGCUUUUCUUUCCCCUUAUAAAAUGUGUCUUCUUUAACACACGUCUUGUAUGGUCCUAAAACAAGUUUCACGCAGGUCUAGUUUCACCUAACUUGAGUUUACUUCUAAUUCUCACGAUACAACACUUUCUAUGAGUUAAACUCUUCAAGAAAUAUCGUUCCUCCUAUAUGCUGAUCAUAUGAUUAGUAUAGAUGAUGAUCCUUAAGCUAUAUCGAAUAUGCAAUGUUGCCUUAAAUGAUUCUCUAAUUAGGACCACUCCACUAUUUCCUUGGCCUUUGAAAGUUUCAUCCCCCUCUAAUGGGGUAUUCAUCUCAAGCAAAAUAUACUAAUUCUCAUCCCUAAGUAAAUUAUAAAUAUACUUUUGAUCUCCUAGCUCAUUCUAGUAUAUUACUGAGACCUUUGUUGAUCACGUCAUCAAAGACUACUAGAACUCUUUUUAACUCCUUUUGAUAGUGCUCUUCUCGAAAAUGCAACUCUAUAUUGACAACAUACUAGUAGUCUUAUUUAUCUCGUUGUGGGUUGAUCAAAUAUUGCAUAUAUUGCUCAGAUUAUUAUUUGGUUGCUUCAAUGCUAAUUUUGUUGGUGAGGAUCGGUGUUCUCAUUUGGUGUAGAUAUAAAAAAACAAACUACAGUAUCUCGCACUUGGUAAUAUUAUUUCUCAGUUUUCAUAUUGGUUUCUUGGAGUGUUCCUCAGUAGUCUACUAGUUAUAUUUGUGUGACCAUCGUAGUGCUUUUUUAGAUUGCAAAUUGUGUGGUUUCUUCUAGAAACAUACCAAGCACAAUAAAAUUGAUUGUCACUUUGUCCAUCAUCAUCUCCCAAGCAAGAUCGUUCUAUCCCCACUAAAUCAGUAACCCAUUGAAAUCCUCACAAAAGUGUUAUCCCCCAAACACUUCUCUAUCCUACUUCACAAACUCAAGUUGGUGUCUGCCUUUUUCCACUCAUAACAAAAAAGCACCUCACAUCUAAAACUUCAACCAUUUUCAAGUUACAAAAUUUACUCUUCUACUGUGACAGCCCUUUUAAGAAGAAUGGGUUUUCAAUAAUAGAAAACAAAGAUAACAAUAAAAUAAAGUAAAAGAUUUAUAAGAGAGUGUGUAAUUUGAAAUCAAGUUCAAAUUCAAUUAAUACAUAACUCUAAAUAUUAUCAAACUAGCUGCCUACUCUCAUGAUAAACUUUUUGUUAGUUUUUCACAAUGUGAAAAAACUUGGAAUAGUUUAAUUAUUCUCAACAUUAUUUAUAAAGUCGGUGACCUAAUUUCUUACUAUAAUCAUAUCAACUAGAGAUAGAUAUAGAAUGAAUGUUAGUUCAUUAAUUUAAUGAUGAGUAGUAGCUAGGUAAAUGAACUACUAUGUAUUCAACUAUUUGUUGAAUGUCCCAUCAAUCCAUAUCUAACUAAGAAAAUAACAUAAAAACAUUAAGUUAAACAAGUGAUGAAAAAAUUUGUUAUAUAUAUUUAUUUUAUUUCUUCGGACGAUAAUUUUUUUUUUAUUUGUAUGGGUGUUCUAAACAUUUUCAAACUUAAAAGUGACAAAAAUCGGUUAAAAGAUUGGUAUGUAACUAUAUUAGUCAUAACUUAUAAACUUUAGCUUUUGGGUUGAAAACAGUUAUUUAUGUGGUAUCAGGACAAGAAAAUUGUGUAUAAACUCCAUGAUAUUUGAUUUUUGGUGUUAUUAUCACCAAGCAUGUCCUCUCUUUCCUAAAUUAAAAAUUUUGUGUUAUUAUCAUAUGAAAGUCAGGUAUGUUUUCUUAUAUUUAAAUUAUUGAAAGUGAAUUAGGUUAAAAGUUUUUUAUUUCCUUCUAAUUUUUUUUACUUAAUAAAUUGUCUUGGUAAUUUUUUUUUUAAAAUAAUCAUAAGAAAGAGCAUAUGUUGAAUUGGAAAUAUAUCAACUAAGUUAACAAACCCUUACUACUAUCUGUCACAUCCUAACCAAAAGAGAUAAUAUUGUCUUGGUAAUUUUUAACCUUCAAUUUCCAAUUCAUCACAUGGAAGCUAAACAAAGGGGUUAUGGAGCAUCAAUAGUUCAAGUUGGUUGUUUGGUAGAAAACACUCAUUGAGGUAUGGGAAACAGCAAGAGGCACACUAAUGGAAGUUGGGCCUUUUUUCCUUCUCUUUUUGCAUGUGCUUAUAGCCCACUUAGAAGUUGAUACUUACUCCACCAAUUCCUAUAUAAAGGGAUCAGAAGAUGCAUUGUAAGCAUAGGCCUCGUGUUUUGAGUUCCUAUGGAGAAUCAUAGAGUACAAUUCCUUGCUUUGUUUGCUUUAUUGGGUUUAGGGUUAGCUUCGGCCGCCAGAACUCUUAUUGCUUAUGAUGGCGAUGUCCAUGCCCCUGUGUUAGGGCAUACUUCUGUUGGAUAUGGUGGUGGAGAAGGAGCUGGUAGUGGAUAUGGAGUUAGCGUUGGAUAUGGCGGUGGUGGAGGAGGAGGACGUGGUGGUGGGGGUGGUUCUACAAAUGGUGGUGUUGGAUAUGGAAAUGGUGGAGGUGAAGGAAGUGGCGCUGGAUAUGGAGGUGGAGAAGAACGUGGUUAUGGCAAUGGUGGUGGUGGGGGAGGGGGAGGAAGUGGUGGUGGUGGUGGUGGUGGAAGUGGUGUCAGAUAUGGCCCGGUCGGUGGUUAUGGAAGUGGAGAAGGAGGUGGUUCUGGUGGUGGUUAUGGAGGCGGGGGAUCGGGUUAUGGAGGUGGUGGAGGUGGUGGCGGUGGUGGAAAUGGAGGUGGUAGUGGUGGUUAUGGUGCAGGAGAAGCGAGCGGAGGAGGAUAUGGAAGUGGUGGAGGACAAGGAGGAGGCUCAGGGAGCGGAGGGGGAGGGCAUGGAGGCGGCGGAGGAGGCGGUUGGGGAGGUGGGUAUGGUAGUGGAGGAAAUGGUGGUGGAUAUGGAAGUGGCGGAGGAGAAGGAGGAGGCUCAGGGAGUGGAGCAGGAGGACAUGGAGGUGGCGGAGGAGGUGGCUCCGGCGGUGGCUAUGGUGGUGGUGGAGGUGCACAAGGAGGAGGGUACGGAGGUGGGGGAGGGAGUGGAGGAGGGGGUGGUGGAUAUGCACCUUGAUUCUAUUUUAUUAUCUCAACAAAAAGGAAAAUAAUUUAAGAAGAAGAAGAAAGGUUAUAAAGAAGAGUACUAUUGAUUACAUUUUAUGUUCUUAAUAAAUGAAGUUUACUAUAGGGAUGAUAGUGAUUGAAGAAUGGGAAAUUAGGGACUCUUAUUUCAUUUGGAAACCCUUCCUUUUGAUCAUCUUUCCCUAAUCUGUAUUUGUAUUUUGUGUCAUGUGAUUUUCAAUUCUAAAUAUGCAAUUAAUUGUAAUUGUGAUUUACAACUUUUCCAUUCAUUUGUGCUCCAUCUAAAUGUAUGUAAACAUGAGAUUGAUGAUCACUAUAUUCAUUCAUCCAACAUACAAAUUCAAUCGUUAUUUUUACCGAGUUUUAAAUUUCACAUUUGCAUAUUGUUGAACUAAAAAAAUAUUGCACCAACUUAUAUCUAUGAAGUUUAAAAUGAGUUUCGAUAUCUCUAUACCUAGUUAACAAUAUUUGUAGAUCAAUCAUAUUUUUCAAUCAAUUAAAACCGUUUAUUUUUGGUAAUUUAUUAUGUAUAUAUUUGAUAUAAAGAUUUAAAAUACGAUAGAAUCGCUUAAGUCAAUCAAAACAUAGCUUAAUAGAAUACCCUCACAAUCUUAACUCUUUCUCUUACGCACCACUAAACUCAAAAUAAUAAUAAUAAUAUGAUUUAAUUAAUUCAUAAACAUCAUAUAAUAUCAUAAAAGUAUUAUUAUUUUAGUUUAAUAGUGAGUUUGGCGUAGUUGAAUUUCAGAAUAUUUUUUUUUGGCUAAACUAUUUAAUUAUAACUAUUUUUACAAAAAAAAAAAAAAAAUUGUUUUAACAUAAGAUACAUAUUAAAUUCACUGAACGUUUAAGAAUUCUUAAUCAUUCAUGUCUUUAAAUUUUGAUUCUAUUUCAAUCCAAUCACCAUUAUUAACCCGAUAAAAUUUACAACAAAGUAGAUCACUAACAAGCAUGAUAUGAGAUAAGAUUCCAUUAAUAACAUUAAACGUAUAUAGGAAUCAAAUAAUAUUUUGAAAAGACCUAUGAACCAAAUAAAAGUGCAGUACAAAUUAAAACAAAAACAAAAGGUUCGAUACUCAAACUUUUAUUAGUUUAAAAACAAUUAGAAAAAAGGAUUAAAUUUUAACUAAUUUAUGAAUAAAAAGAUUGUCUUGAAUCUAAAGUGGAACCACUUGGGAAUUCAGGCUCUCUAUUGAUCAUAUCAACACUUCCAUCUUCUCUAAGCAUCACCAUAUUUGAUUUUAUUUUCUUGGCAUAAAACGCUCUAUUACCUCUUUGAUGCCUGCCCAUUUGUGUUCUUGUUUUUGUCAGUUCAUACAAAUAUAUAAUAAUUCCUUUUUUUCUCAAUAUCAAAUAAAUCACUAGACUUUACUGCUGCCUUCAAAAAUUGUGAAAUAUACUAAGAAUAUGACUUUCUUUAAAAAAAAAAUGUUUUUUACAGACAAAUGAAACAAACAUAAAUUUCAAGAACUAAUAAAACCAAUUUUGUUAUCUUUACUCAAAAGCUAAGGAUGGCAAUGAAAAAAUAUAUAUAAUAAUAAAUUAGAUUUAUUCAACUUUGAUAUCAUCACUCACUCAUCUUUGUUUUUUUCUUUUUUUCUUUUUUUCUUUUUUUACUUUCUCACUUUUUAACAAUAGUUCAAAACUUUAGCUAACGUUUAAGAAAAUAGAUAGAUGGCUCGAGAAUCAACUAGUUUAGAGCAAAUUCAUAGCGACAAGAUUAGAAAUUGCUUAAGAAUCGAAUCUUUGGACAAGACUAUAUAACUGUUUUAGUUGAAGAAAAUAGAGAAACGAAUGGUUGAGACAUGAGAGACAAAAUGUUUUGAAGUGUUUUUGAAAAAGUAUUUUAUAAUAAUAAGAAGAAGAAGAACAAUAAUGAUAAUAUAAUAAAAUAAAUUAACUUACUUAUCAAAUACAACCCAUGUUGCAUGAAGGCUUGAGAUUUGCUCAACAAUAAGCAAUCUAAGUGGAUGACCCAUUACUACUUUCUUUUGUGGCACAACCUGAGAAACAAAAAGAAAAAAGAAAAAGGUAAUAAUAAUACACUGAUUCAUUAAUAAAAUAUGCUUUGAAAAUAUUAACCAAAAAUGUAUAUACCCCAUAUUUCCUACAGAGUGAUACCACAGCUUCAAGUUUUGCAUAUUUGGCUUCACUAAUAUACUCUCUUUCCACUCCCUCAAAGGACAUCUCCUCCAAAUUUAUUGGCCAAAUAUCCAACCAAGUUUUUGAUGAAACUACAAAAAUUCAUUUAUGUAAUGAUAUUAAGAAAACGCUAGAACAAUCAUACAGUUCGAUGUUAAGAAAAACAGGUAAAAAAACUCACGAGGAAUAUUGAGCCACGGCAUUGCACCAACAAGAGUAACGAUGCAACCAGGCUUAAUGACGUUGUCCAAUGCCCACUUAAGUGGGUCCGUUGUGAACUCUUCCAUUCCAUCCAUGACGACCACUACAUGUCUACUUGCAGCCUCUGAUGUUGAGCUCAAAGUCGGUGUUGGUGUUGGUGUUGGAGUUGGAGUUUGAGUUGGGGUUGGGGUUGGCGUAUCAUCCUCCAUGUCUUCGUUUCCAGCCCCUGCCAUGGCACAAAAAAUGAAAAUAAGGAAAAACAGUGUUGAUGGAAGACUACUUAAUAAUGUUUUCUAUAUAAUUCUUGUUUAGCUGUCUUGAGCAUAUUAAAUAACAAGGUUCGAUACUUACAAGAAUAUGCAUUGUAAUCUGCUCAACAAACCAACAAACAUCUCUAACAAUCAAUAUCUUCCAUCGAUUCUGUCAAAAUCAAACUCUUCCUACACUCAAAGCUCCAAAGUGAUGUGAUCCUUAUGCUAUUGAUCAUAGUUAUCAUCUCUAAAUAUCAGUCAAGUUACUAAAGAAAUUGCUUUAAAACAAAUUGAAACAGAUCGUCAUCAGAUAUGAAUUUGAUUAUAUAACAUGUCAAGCAUCAGAGUUGAAAAUGUUCUCUAUACAGAUUGAAAAAGCGUUGAUCGACUGAGGUCGAAUACAAAACCUGGACUCUUAUGAUAGCUAGAAAUAAAUUUAAAGGUCUUCCAUCACCACAUAUUUACCUCUAAAAAAAUAGCCUAAACAACUUUAGAGAGGGAGGGUAAAAAGCAAGGGAAACUAAAAAGCAAAAAUCUAUCAACUUGGCUUGCUACGGUUUCGGCUGCCAUGAAACGCAUCACAGAACUAUACUUGUUUUGCGACGAGUGUUAGGCGGGCUUGACCUUUUACAUGGUAAUGACCUUAGUCUCUUCUUCUUGUUCAAAGAGGAGCCUUCACUCUGAGAUCCCAAUAUAGCAGCAAUCAUUUUCGACCCUCUCGAACCUGGCAUGUUCUUCUUAACGUACCUCAUGGCUGCUUUUCUUUCAGAAUCUUCCACACCCUUAUUCAAUGGGCUUCCAGAUGUUGAGCACUUUUCUGUCUUCAGAUGAUCAACUGGGAUUCGGUAUUGUGGUUCUAAACAAAGUACAAAAAAUUCCAAAUAUUAAAUAUAGUCCAACCAGCCAAAUAUUAAACAGAAAACAUAUAGAGAUUAAAACAAGAUUUUACCUGGAGUACGGAAGACAUUAUCGGGGCUGGGAGAUCUCACUGGCGAUAGAGGAUGAAAACCAUCAAUACUUUCAUCUUCAUCAUUCAAACAGAGAUCCUUAGUUACAAUGGGAGAAGACUUCAUUGUUGCACUCUCAACUAUAUUCAAGUUAGCAGAAGUAGCAUUUUCCAAAUCACUGACACCAGUAUCUUGAUUCUCCAUUUCACAGGAAAACCGAGCAGGACUUGGUUGCAAAGUAUCCGCAGGUGCAUUUGCAGAUUCGUGAUUGACUUUAGACUCAGCAGCAAAUGAAGAGCAACCAGUACCGAUAUUUUGCAAAACCGACUUGGGAGAUGGAUUUGAGGAAUCUGAAUUCAAGCAAGGAUCCGAUCGUUGAAUUAAACUUGAGAACCAUGAAGUCCCCUUCCUCUUAUAUAACAAAAUGUAGGCCUCACGUGACAGCACAUACUCUUCAGUGACUGAAGUAACCUGAAUAACAUCAAAACCAGAAAGUUUUUUUGCUUCAGUAAAAGCUUACCGCACUUCACUAAAUCAAUGGAGAAUCAGCAGCUCCAUCAAUAGAAAAAGCACAUAACAGAAUUCCAGUUAAGUUAUAUCAGCACCCUCUUGAGGAUUAAUUAUCCUCAAGACCAAAACGAGUGCAACAACACAUCAGAUCAAUAUAGUAACUCAAAAAUAAGUAAUUGCUACUAUAAUUUCAGAAAUGGUGAUAUGAGAUACCAAAAGGUUCUACUGAUAUACAACCAAAAGCAAGGGGCCAAAUGCAGGGAAAGAAGAAAACGUGAAACAAAUUACAACUGGGAAGGAGAAUAUGAUCACUAAUUUAGUCGUCGCCAUAUAUCUAGCACGCUGCUAAAUCCCAGCAGUAAGUUGAAAAACUAAACAAAAUUGAAAAAUACUUCAUAAAUGUUAUACCAAUGAGUCGUCCAUUCUGUGCCAUGUAUCAGGAGAGGAACGAACAAAGCUGAAGUAGUGCCCAGAAGUAGAGGAAAACCCUGUGUGUUCCACAAUGGCAUACAAUUCAUAUUUGAGUUCCACCUGUUAUCGUCAAAGGGAAAAGAGAGAGAACCUCAGUAAUGAACCUAAACCAAUUGUAGGGCAAAGCCAAAAACAAAAAAUAUUACAGAGCUCAAAUAUUCUACAUUUUCAAGAUACUGAUGACAAUUCUUGUACAAACUUUACACCAUGAGGUAAGAAAAGUUAGAUAUUACCUCUGCAUCCUUGCCUCCCAGGGUGUACGGCUUCAAAUCUAACUCUAAUGGAAACUCCAAGUGCUUUUCGAUUUUCUCAACAAAAGAACUAUCAGCCUUGAAUCUCUUUAAGUGGAAUGUAGUAACCAAAGGGAUUUUUUCCAGCUUAAGCUGCUUCUCCACCCACACCUCCUCUUUGCAGUUUUCACACUUAAAUUUUGUUUCUGGAUCGCCAAUUCUCUCCACCUUGGUGAAAGAUUCCAGAGCACUGGAAAGGGAGUCCACAUUCUCAAUCUCCAAACUCAAGUCAACCAAAGGCUCAUGGGUUUCGGAACAAUGGCCACAAUUACAGCAGCAAAGCUGAAUAUGACACAAAUUGUAAAAAACAAGACACUGAAGCUCAAUACUUAAAAACAAAACAGUAAAGAUCAUUUUCUUACAUUGCUUAUGAGACGACCACCAAACACCUUAUUCACUAGAUCAUCAUCCUCUGAAGAAACUCGAUCCUUUCCUUCUGAAACCAUGCAUCUUUCAAGUUUAUCCAAGAAGCACUGCAUGAACUCAUGGGCAUCUUCCUGCUGGUAUCUCCAGAAAAAGGAUGAGAAGUCUAAUGCUAACUUAAGAAUAACAACAGUACAGCAAAGUUCUCAAAAGAUCAAAUAAUAAAACAAAGUACAAAAACAACUGCAACCUCCGUAACACGCAAGACCAUUUGUAUCCAAGUACCAUUAAAGAAAACCAACUAAAAGCAUGUUUGGAUUGACUUUCUAAGUGUUUAAAUAAAAGUAUAAAAUAAAUGUUUACAAUCACUUAGAAAGUCAGUCCAAACAAAACCUAACACACUGUGGUUAUCUUAAUCUCAGAUUUGCUCAGAUCGAGAUGCAGCUUCUUUGAAGCAAAUACAAAAUUCCUAACAAGUUAUCAUCACAUCAUACAAGGUACAAAAGGCACUAAUUAAAAGAAUUUUUAAGAAAAAAAAAUAUGGUGGAAAAUGAAAUAUAGAAAAGGAUACAGUUCAAGUUAUCAACAAGUUUCACUGGUGAGAUAAUCCCACCCAGAGAAGUUAAGGAGAGCUCGAUAUGAUCUCGAAUUGCACAAAAGACACAAAAACCUUCACCUGUGGAUGCAAAUUCGUAAUUCUUCAUCAACUACUGAGUCAUUAGAACCUAGAAACAGAGAGAACGUAUUGGUAGUGACAGUGAUCUUACUGUUACAAGGCAUAUCAUGAUUAGCAGAUCGAAGACCCUCCACAAAUGGAGCAGUAUGAGUGAGGCACUGCAAGAUUGCGUUAAUAAAACAAGUAUUCCCCAAAUUUGCAAGUCCCGCACCCUACGAAUUCAGAACAUAACCAAAACCAAACCCCAAAAAGAUAAAUAAAUGGAAAAUAAUAUAUCAAUUGCAACCAAGUAUAAAGAACUAAUUGAAAAUUAAGCUCACCGCAGAUAGAGAUUCGGUUUCUUGAGCAGACACGGAAUUUUCUGGGAAAGCUUCCUCUGAAGUAGACCACUCCAAAGACGAUCCCGGCAGAGGAGGCAAUGCGUCGAGUCCAUCAGAAUCAGACGAAUAAGUUGAGAAUGGCGAAGACCCAGUAGGGUUUAUCGAAGAAGAACCCCAAGACUGAUUAGCAGAGGCAUCCAUAGGCGAAAAAGAAAAAUUGCCGUUACGGCAAGAGGAAGAAUGAAGUAGAGAUUGUUGAGUUAGGGCAUCUUCGGUAGUAGUCGAGUGCCAAGACCCGGCUUCAAUUCCCAACGGAGGAACCAAAAAUGGAUCAAGUUCUUGAGAAUCAACCAAAUGGGUAGCCAUUAGAGAGAAUAAAACAAGAUAAUUAGAGUGAAAAGAAGAGAAAAACAGAGGUGGGUAUUGGAGAAGCAGAUAGAAAAGAAAGGGGGAAGAAGGUUUUUGGAUGAAAUUGAAGAGGGGGAAUUGGAAAAGAGAGAGGGAAAACGAAAAAGAAUCGGAAAAGGGUUUUAAUAUAUGGAUUUGAAAAGGGAGGGAAAACUCAAAAACUCCCAAAAAUUGGUCCUUUCCGCUUCAGAACAAAAAAGGGGAAAACGAAAAAAAAAUGAGAGGGAAAGAGAAGAAAGAGACGCGGAAGACGAUAAUGGUGACUGUUUCAUUUUCGUUUUUUAAUUCCUUUUUAAACACUUUCUUAAUUUCACUCCAAAACUCAUUCUAUUUAGGGUUUAAAUUCACUCACUCCCAACAGCUUUCGAUUUUUAUUUUUAUUUUAAAUAUUCAAAAUUAGGGUUUCUAUUUUACUUAUAUUUAUUACAUUUCAACUCAUAUAAUUCUAUUUUUUAAACUAAAUUAAUUUAAGCAUUGACUUAAAUUUAACUUCAAACGUUGCAGGCAUUAAAUUGAAAAAUGUGAUGAUUUAGUGGUUUAGUAGAAAAUUUUGUUGUUUCUCCUAACAUUUUGCCUAUAAUGAAGAAUCAAACCUCUAAUUUCAAGACUUGAUAUUAUUCAGACUUCAUGAAUCAACAAAUUAACUUUGUUUAAAACCAUUUUCUAAACUCCAUAGACUAAAUAAAUGUGUUUAUAUAAAAUUAACCAACCAUAGAAUGCAUAGGCUAAAUUCAAAAAUUCAAUGAAAAAGAAGUAACAUAAGAGAAUUAUGUAUUAGUUCUUUAAAUAUAGCACUCAAAUUAUUACUGAAACACAUACAAUAACCUCACAACUAUAACCAAAACUCAAUACAAAUUCAGGUCCUAAGCUCUUGUGAGAUAGGAAUGCCAAAUUUUGGUGGAGAAAAUACGGUAUGUAUUGUUUUGUUUGCUACAAAAAAAAAAAAAAAAAAGUAGAACUAAAGCACAUGUUCACUGCAGCAGCUAGAAAAACAAAAGAACCACCAGCGAAUGUUCAAGUCCUGUGUAAAAGGGUUGCUUUUUGAAAGAAUCUUUAUACUGAAAUUUCUUUACAUUCCUCAGUAAUAAAAUCCGCUGGUAAUAAAAAAAAACGUAUCGAGUUCGAGCCAAAUUCUACAAUGAAAAGGAACACUUGAAAAUAAUCAAAUGAUUCUGUCUUGAAGAUCUGUAAUUAAUGUAGAUGCCAAGGAGCUUAGCUUCUUCCCUGUUUCUCCUGCAAUGUUCUUGAGAGAAGAAAGAUCCUGCUGUGCCUGGACAAAAGUAAAUGAAUGUAUCACAUAUAUGUAAUACAAUGCUAAGGAAAUCAUGAACCCAAGCACAAUUGCACAGUUUAACAAGGAUUAGUAUAGAACCUGAAUAGAAAGCCGGUUAAUAAACUCAGUUGCAGUAAGAUCGGCAGAAGGAUUAUCUCGCUGGUUACCAAAUAGAUCGGCACUAGAGAUGGAAGCUGAGCCCUGCGAAUAGAAGGAUGGCAAGUAAGGGGAAUGAAAGCACUAUGAUUUAAUUUAAACAGUCAGACAUAUCAGCAAUAUAAAGAACGGUUUCCAUCCAAUCUGUGGAAAGUAUUAACUAAUAUAGCGCUUAUCAUUCAGUACCAAAAGUUGAAAAUGCAGUCCCAAAGCCUCAUCAUAAAAACAGAAACGGACCGAACACAGUGUUUUUCCCUUUUUUCUUUAAUACAUUUUAUGGUUUAUGGUUCUUUUUUGAUUGAGCUUUUACUUACCUUCAUCUAGAGAGGGUUUUUUCUCGUAACAUGUACCAAAUGUGUCCAAAACACAUACUUAACAUGUCAGGAAAUUAUAUAUAGCGUAAACUAUAAAUCCUUGAUAAGGAAAGAAUCAGAAUAUAGAACUUCCUUUUUUUAAAUGAAAACGACAACUUUCAUUGAGAAACAAUAAAAGAAUACAAGGGCACAAAAAAAACCAGGCCACAAAACCACCCCAUUAAAGAAAGAGGGACCAACUAAAUAAAAUGUUUGUCUAUAGAAUAUUUACAAAAGUUCUUCGAAACCGAAGCCCAAAGAAACACGUGAUAUCUAAUCAAAGACCAAAUCAGAAUAUAACACAUAAAAGAGUUCCUGCUCUAUCAUGAAGGAUUGAAUAGUCAAAUGGUAAGAGGUCUGUAUAAAUAGCAUAACUAGAAAAGUAUGGACAACAAUUUCCACUUAAUUAACGAUAAAGGCAAAGGUACAAACCGAGAAUUUUUGGAGGGAGGCCUGAGCAUCAGCAUCAGCUCUGUUCUGAUCACCAAAGUAUUGGGCUGAUGAUAUAGAUUUGGCAUUGGAAAAUUUCUUCCUUGCUUCGUCACUUUCUUCAAUCUAACAUCAAUCAUGUUGUUAGAACAGAGAUCAAAAGAGGUAGAGACAUUGAUAUGAUGGACCCAUGUGCGCAACCAGCAAAAAU
rnacentral:lncRNA from 1 species